GGUCAUGCUGCAGCAGACGUAUUGAGUCUUUGUAUGUCAAUCAAAGCUCUGCGACAAACCAGCCAGUGACCCAGAGUGAAAGUCAACUUUACUCCUCUCUCCUGCACGGUGAUGUUUCUCUUUAUGAAUCCCUCAGACGCCCUGGAAACCCUGCAAACGGUGAACCAGCUCAGGAUU